rnacentral:rRNA from 1 species
UACGUAGGGGGCGAGCGUUGUCCGGAUUUAUUGGGCGUAAAGAGCUCGUAGGCGGCUGUUCGAGUCGGGUGUGAAAUCCUGAGGCUUAACCUUGGGUCUGCAUUCGAUACUGGGCGGCUUGAGUCUGGUAGGGGGAUCUGGAAUUCCAGGUGUAGCGGUGAAAUGCGUAGAUAUCAGGAGGAACACCGGUGGCGAAGGCGGGUCUCUGGGCCGAUACUGACGCUGAGGAGCGAAAGCGUGGGGAGCGAACAGG